rnacentral:lncRNA from 1 species
UGACAUGGAAAAUGGUAAUGGCGACAUAUUAGCAGAUGGAUCUAUAUGGUUCAAUCCUCAUCCAAUGGUAUAAAAAAGUGCAUGACGUCAUAAGCAACAUCUAAUAAGUCACAUUGCAAUGAGAUAGACCAUUCUGGGUCGUACAUGAACUUAUGCUAUGGACUUCUUUUUUGGUUGCCUUACAGAAUGGUGGCUUUAUUUGCAAAUUUAAGGAACUGUGCUUUUGGCAGU